rnacentral:lncRNA from 1 species
ACAAAAUAAUCAGUACAUAAACCCAAGAAAACACAAAUUGACGAGUAAAAUUCAAAAUGACCAACAAGACUGAACUGAAAUUGGAAAUUGAGUUUCAUCAGCAUCCCCAUCAACAUUAGAUGCAUAUGAAUUUGAUGAUGAUGCCAUGCCAUUAUUGUAAGAGUCAUCUCCACAUAUUGCUCUUCAUUCCAAUCCUCCUCUGGGUGUGCUUCUCCCCCUUUAUCCUCCUCUCUCAUUUCGUCAACCUCUUCAUUUGAGAUUGAGAUCUAGUGGUCCAUAUAGGGAUUAGUGGUGUCCCAGAAUCCUCACAAACUUGAUUUUAGGUCAAGCCCGCUCCAAAUACCUCCUCUUUAGCAUUAACCAAUCACUCUUUACCAUCAUCUAUGUUUGUAACAAGGUUCUCCCUUUCAUUGUGCUACUGAACAAUGACAAGGUUGUUCAAUGUGUUCUGCUCAAUCAUGUUUCUCUUCUUUGUGAAGCUAUUAGAUAAUAUAUGAAUGAGUAAUUUGAACUUUGAAAAACAUAGUACAUGUUAGGGAUACAACUACAACUAACAACUAAUAGCUAGUAACUAAUAGGUUAGGAGAUGGUGAACUAAUUAUCAUUCAAUGUGCUGAAGCUGCGCUCGCAAUCGGACAAGCUACAAGUCAAAUUCAAUGUGCACAUAACCUUCUAGCACAAAUGUGGGCCACUUCCCCGUGGCUUAUUCACCAUGUGGCUAGUUUACAUAAAUGAAAAUGCAAUAUAUAAGAAUUAUAGUAUAAUUAGAACUAAAUACUCAGUUUAGAAAAUCAAUGAAUGAGUUAAACUUACCAAGAGAGAUCUUGGUCCUCUGCCUUAUUUCCCCGAGUCCGUUCCAAGAGACCCCGCUAAGAAUCAAUACUUUUCCAAGUCCAUUGACACUUUGGCUUGGGCAUUUGGAUUAGGGUUGAGUUUAAUGUUGGAUUGGUUGAUUGCGUUCAUGAACUUGCUUUUGUUGUGUAUCACAUGAUCAAUGUAAAAUGAGCAGGUUAAGGUAAUACACUGUUAGGUAUAGGGGCAUCUCAAGUUGUGAGUUCCACUUCUCAUCUAUAAAUUUCAAAAAAGGAGCAUAUUUAGCUUCAUCAUUGCCAAAUUGUUUCUUGAAUUCCUCCUUGGAACCUCCAUUGCAUUAUAAAUGUGAUCGAUUCUUCUUGCUCACUUUCCACUAACCGCAUUACCUCCACCAAUGGGAGAAUAUCACUUUUGGCAAAUUGAACCCUAUUCCAGAAAUGAAAGCCCAAACCAUUGUUAACUAUUACUUUUUUUUAGGUUUUCUCUCUAUAAAAUAGCCUCAAAUGGGUUUUAGGUUUUAAAUGAACUUAAAGCCCACAAUUUUUCCCUUUUAGUAUUAAAAAAAUGGCCCAAAAAUACUCUCAAAGAGCCGCAUUUCUACCCCUAGGCAGCGCCUAGGCGGGUUUAGGCGGCCCCUAGGCGGGCCGGGCGCCUAGGCAGGUGCCGAGAGACAGCCGCCUAGUUUGGCCGCCCAGGUCUAGGCGAUGCGUCCAGGCCUUCUAGACUGCUUAGGCGCUGGGCGGUCCUUUUUAAAACUAUGUUUAAAAUUGAAUAGAAAUUAAAAAUAAGCAUAAUUUUGCACUCCAUCAAUUAGGAAGAACGAAUUGGGUAGCAUGCAUGAUUUUUGAGCAUGUAGUUAGGGUUUGAACCCCAUUAAGUGUACAUAAUUGGUUACUAUGUUAUGUGUACAUUUUAUGAUUAUAAACUUGAGAUGUUUUGGUGGUUAGGCCUUGUCAAUGUUUAGCUUUAAGUCUAAGGUUUGAAUUCUUUCAAGAUCAUCAUCAUAGCAUUUUUCCAAUUACAUGGGGUCAGCUACACGAAUUCUGGUCUACCAUUCUGCUCUAUUAAAGUCCAUACCCUUAGUGAUGCCAUAAGUACCUAUAUCUUUUUGGACUACUUCCAACCACGUCUUUUUGGGCCUACCCCCUUUCCCUUUUCGAGCCUUCUACUUGAACUAAUUCGCACCUUUUAACAGGUGUUGUACUAGGUCUGCACCACACGUGCCCAUCUAAGUCUACUCUUUUUCGUCUUAUCACUUAUUGGUGCCAUAUCGAAAUUUUCCUCAAUGGAUUCGUUUCGAAUUCUAUCUCUUCUUGUCUUGCCAAUCAUCCAUCUCAACAUCUUCAUCUCCGCUACACUAAUUCUAUGAGUAUAUUGUUUUUUGUCCGCCCAACAUUCUGCCCCAUAGAGCAAAGCUGGUUUCACAGCUGUCUUAUAGAACUUACCCUUCAGCUUCAUUGGUAAGCGAUGAUUAUAUAAAAUUCUAGUUGCACAUCUCCACUUCGCUCAUCCAGCUUUAAUUCUGUGUGCGACAUCUUCCUCAAUCUCUCUAUUUCCUAGAUUAUCGACCCAAGAUAUCGAAAGUGUGGACUUUUGAUACUUCUUGGCCUUCAAUCUUAACUACUUCCUCGUCUCUACUCCAAUGUAAUGUCUGGAGACUCCUUUCUUUUCCAACACCCACCAAAUCAAAUUUCGAGGUAUUGUAUUAUAAGAUUUCUCUAGAUCAAUAAAGACCAUGUGGAGUGCUUUUCCCUUCGCCCUAAGCUUCCCAAUCCAAGUAUAGUAUAAAAUAUAUAGAAAAAAAGCCAAAGUGGGUUCAAAACCCAAACUCAACAUUAGCGGCAACAACCCUUAGCUGACUUGACUACUUCAAGUAUGGACACAACAUCGAUUCAUUGAAUAAUAUAAAAUUUGCUUUUAUUUUGCUGGAUCGCCAAAGUUGAUGAUCCAGAUCUCCAAUCAAUGGGUGGGUGACCUGUCCUACCAAUCCGUUAUUUAAAACACUGCUAUAGUCUUCUGAGACACACAGUCUAUAGGUUCUCUUUUUCUUCUAAUGUGGAUUGCAAAGACAGAUAGUAGGCGGCAAAUCUUGCCACUCUGGGCCUCACCGACUCUCUAUUGUUUGUAUACUUCCUCAUCAUGGUCGUCACCUAGCCAAUUGAGAACAUGUGUCAUAUUAACACAAGUAUCUUUAAAAGUCAAGAGCUUGAGACUUAACAUAGAUCCUUAUGACCUAAGUAUUUAACAUAUGUGACAUUACUUCUAUGCAUACAAACCAACAAUUCUAAUGGAAGAGUUUUAAACUUACCUGCGUGUGGCUAUAUAUAUGACAUUAGAACAAUUGUUUCAUGUGGACUGGACCGCAUUUGUACAAUAUGCGGUCCAGAGGUAUAAAGCAUCCAACUUAAAGAUGGAUGCAAAUAGGUGGUCCAUCUAAAAACAAUUGAAACGAAGGGUUCGAAUGUGUUUUUAAUAGAAUUAUUAUUUCUAGUUUUCAAAAUUUAUUUAUUUCUUCAUAUUCAUGAUCUCUAUGUUAAAGAUUAUAUUCCCUAAAAAUUAAGAUCGAAUUCUAUUUCAAAAAUAAAUUUAUUAAGGGGCCCGUAUUUCUACAUGUGCGGGCUUGGCGGCAUGCUAACCGCAUCCAUAGCAUUAUUAUGACUUCGCUUUCUUCAGUGUUAUCACCACCACCUUCAUCAUGGCAGUAGCCUUAAGCAUGAGGUCUAGCAGCACAAGGCGACCAAAAAACAUGUGGCCUCUUUGCACCAAUAAGCUAGAAGCCGCCAUUAUUGGCUGCAGCCCUAUGAGUCACUACUUUGACCAUGUGAUCCUUCCCCACCUCCUCUGUACAUUGGUCCACUGACUCAAAAGUGAAUCUUGCUGCUUGGAUCUUGUCAGAUGCGUUAAUGGACCUAAAAACAUUAAUGCAUUAAUGAAUCUCGCGGCUUGGAUCUCUAAUGGUGACUUCGCUAUCAAGUUUGUAAUACUUCUGUUUCUCUAAUCAGUCUAUCGAUCAUUCAUAAUAGGGACCCUAGAUACAUCUCCCAUGUGUCUCUGUGGGUCCUCAAAAAAUUAUUUGUGAGCUCCACUUCCUUUUUAAGUAUUGGUUCCAUGAGCUCAUGUUGGGGCUUGGCCCAAAUUAAUCCACUCCUUCCAACAUAGUUUGGAAGUUCUUUAAGUUAGCGGCAUUGAAUGGAAUGCUUGCUUGAUAGAGCCAUCUAGCUACAUAUUGAGACACCUUAUCCUACCUUCUUUCUUAGAUUGUCCCUCUAAAGUUGUUUGCUCCGUUUCUCGCAACUGUAAUCUCAAGAUUUGGGGGUUGGAGGGGGAGUAAGAAUUUAUAUGCCCCCCUUGCUUGAGGUUUCUUUUGUUCAAGCCUUGUGGCCUACCGUGAACACUCGUCGUUGGCAUAUACAUCUUCCUGUAGUCCGUAUAAAUCUACACUCCUCAAAAGGUUAUCAUGGUUUUUCUUUUUCUCUUUCUUCUUUUUGACCUCCUGCGAGUGUUGUAAGUGCUCUAACAUCUCUCUCCUAACCCCAUGUGACACAAGUACUGUCUACCCUAACUUUGUCAAUUGGAUUUGUUAAAGAACUGUAUUUCCAAGCUCUAUGAGCUUGCUUACUUGAACUGGUUGAAGACAAUGCCAAUUUGUCACGACUCAUGACCCACAGAACUCACGACAUCAUCUAAUUAAUUAACCUCAAAAUUCACAAAAUCAAAGUAUUCAAUGAAGUAAACCCCAUUUAACUCUUUGUCUAGACAAUACAAGAAAACCAUAUAGAGUAUUAAAUAAAAAAACUAGAUAUGUUCACUGAGCAAGUCUGGAAAUACGCAGUUACCCAAAUUUUGAUGUGUGGCACUAAAUGUAAACCAAUCCAACUGAAUAAAAGGAGGAAAUAUUUAUUAAUUUACAAAACAAUAUUCUAAAGCAUUCAUGCAAGCAAAAUAACUCAAGCACAAUCUAUUUAGUAAUUUUCAUAAAACAAGUUUUUCCUAGGAAGAAACAAUUCGAACUUUAGUUAGGAAUCAAUAGGGUAACCCAACUAUGCAAUGAAAGUCACAAUUAUAAAAAAUUAAGGAGAAAUCACCAAAUAAUAUUCAUUUGGUUUGAGAUUAAUGAUUCUCCUAAGAUUAGGUUUCCCAGCCUUAAGAAAAUUUCAAAAAAAAGUCAACCUAAAACUUGCUGAUAAUUCAAAGCCAAACUUGUAAAAGUUCACAAAAGCAAACACCAGAAGGGAACUAAAAACAAAUCAUAAACCGUUUUACGGGAAAUAGCAACAAAUCCCAAGUCAAAUAUUCUGAUAUACUAACCUUUGCAAAAUGAACUUGAUAUAGGCUCUAAUUCGUGACCUUUGGCAGCCGAAAGUCCUCUUUUGUAGCCACUCCAAGCCCAAAAAGUAUCCUAUACGUUAACCUUCAAUUUUGCAAGAAGUCAAGCACUUUGAAAUGUUUUUGGAUCUUGAGAAAAAUCUGACAAAAAAAAUAAAUAUGUCUCUCAAGAAGGCACAAAUAGGGUUUUGGGGGUAGAAUGCCCACCAAAACCAUUUUCUGCCCUUUUCAAGGGGAAAAUGACAUUUUGCUUUUGGCUGAGGGCCUUUUUCUGCCCUCGGCCUUAGGGGCAUUGAGGUACCGCUU